GACGAACGCUGGCGGCGUGCUUAACACAUGCAAGUCGAACGGAAAGGCCCUGCUUUUGUGGGGUGCUCGAGUGGCGAACGGGUGAGUAACACGUGAGUAACCUGCCCUUUACUUUGGGAUAACUUCAGGAAACUGGGGCUAAUACCUGAUAGGAGCUCCUGCUGCAUGGUGGGGGUUGGAAAGUUUCGGCGGUUGGGGAUGGACUCGCGGCUUAUCAGCUUGUUGGUGGGGUAGUGGCUUACCAAGGCUUUGACGGGUAGCCGGCCUGAGAGGGUGACCGGCGACAUGGGGACUGAGAUACGGACCAGACGCCUACGGGAGGCAGCAGUGGGGAAUAUUGCACAAUGGGCGGAAGCCUGAUGCAGCAACGCCGCGAGCGGGAUGAAGGCCUUCGGGUUGUAAACCGCUUUCGCCUGUGACGAAGCGUGAGUGACGGUAAUGGGUAAAGAAGCACCGGCUAACUACGUG
rnacentral:rRNA from 1 species